UAUAGAUGGAUCCGCGCUGCAUUAGCUAGUUGGUAAGGUAACGGCUUACCAAGGCAACGAUGCAUAGCCGACCUGAGAGGGUGAUCGGCCACACUGGAACUGAGACACGGUCCAGACUCCUACGGGAGGCAGCAGUAGGGAAUCUUCCGCAAUGGGCGAAAGCCUGACGGAGCAACGCCGCGUGAGUGAUGAAGGUCUUCGGAUCGUAAAACUCUGUUAUUAGGGAAGAACAUAUGUGUAAGUAACUGUGCACAUCUUGACGGUACCUAAUCAGAAAGCCACGGCUAACUACGUGCCAGCAGCCGCGGUAAUACGUAGGUGGCAA
rnacentral:rRNA from 1 species